UGGGGAAUAUUGCACAAUGGAGGGAACUCUGAUGCAGCGACGCCGCGUGAGUGAUGAAGGAAUUCGUUUCGUAAAACUCUGUUCUAUGGGAAGAAAAGGACUGUACCAUAGGAGAAAGCUCCGGCUAAAUACGUGCCAGCAGCCGCGGUAAUACGUAUGGAGCGAGCGUUGUCCGGAAUUAUUGGGCGUAAAGGGUGCGCAGGCGGCUUUACAAGUUGGAUGUGAAAUAUUGUGGCUCAACCACAAACGUGCAUCCAAAACUGCAAAGCUUGAGUUAAGGAGAGGUAAGUGGAAUUCCUGGUGUAGCGGUGGAAUGCGUAGAUAUCAGGAGGAAUACCGGUGGCGAAGGCAACUUACUGGACUUAAACUGACGCUCAGGCACGAAAGCGUGGGGAACAAACAGG
rnacentral:rRNA from 1 species